AGAGGCGUACCCAAGCAAAUAGAAACAAUAGGACCAAGCAAAAAAUGCCUCACACAGGAGGAUCCAAAAGUAUUGCUACCUUGAUGGAUGGGAAGGCUGAGAAUGGGAUAGAGCCUACCCGAGCACAAGUAUUUAUAUUAACUCACAAGAAACGUAAGGAUGGUAGAUCACUGGAUGAGGAUUCUGCCAAGACAAUUGACAUGAUAAAUGAAAGGAUAAGCAAUAGUGAGAGACCUACUGACCGACCUCCUCAGAGUGUUGCUUAGGAAGGGG